CCUGGUAGCAAUAGCGGAGGGGCCACACCCGUUCCCAUCCCGAACACGGAAGUUAAGCCCUCCAGCGCCGAUGGUACUAGGGCACAAGCCCUGGGAGAGUAGGUCGCCGCCAGGA
rnacentral:rRNA from 1 species